rnacentral:sRNA from 1 species
UCUAUGUCUCUGACACGGCUCUCAAAGAGGGGCUUUGAAGCGAUGAUGUUCAUUUUGAGCAGAUUGCAGAUUGCGACCAAUAUUUUGUUCUCUGGUGCCGCUCCUGUCGCCGCAUCAGGCU